AUACAAUGAAGAGAUCGAUAAGUAUUCUAGGCAUUUUUUACGUUUUUAAAAGUCCAGAAUACUAAGGAUAUUUAUCUUGGAUGGAAAUGACCCAGCGUAACUACGGAGUGUGGAAAAAUAUAAUAUACGUCUGCCUUUGGAGGGUUAAUCCUUGUCGUUUAAUUAAAUUUCGCACGUCUUUUGAACGUUUGUUAAAAUUUCGUUUGAAUCAAAACUCUCUCCAUACGCUUUAUCGAACAUUGUGGAAUAAGUUGUCUGUAAAAGAUGAACAACGCCGAAAAGAAAGUUACGUUCUCGAACUCGCUAUCCUUUAAAAAUGUAUUCUUCUUUAAGGAAACUAAAAUGCGAUCAAUUUUAAGAAAUUUGUUCUUUACAUUUUGAUUUCAAUUUCCGAGGUAAAUUGGACAUCGCUUCUGUUACAGUCGACUUUCCGAAAUAAAGUGUGAAACGAACGUUAUAUGUACCGAAUGUUCCAAAAUAGGUGGCAGAAGGUUAUUGUGUAAGCAAAACUAAAUUAAAAAUAAAGAAUGAAUUUUUUUUAUUUAACAUUUUGUUUUCGAGAUGAUCGAAUUUGAAAAUAGGUCGGAUAUGUGUAUGUUCGGUUCAUUCUAAAUCGAAAGAAGAUGGUAUCGUUGCUCCGAAGGUUGAGUCUACGUGUAAAAAUAAGUUGAAAAUGUAAAAUAAUAUUUUUCCUUUAAAGUCUCGUUUUCUAAAAAAUCGUCGAUAGACACGUGCCCUGUCGAGAGUCAACUGAACGCACGUGUAUCCCGCUUCAAUUUUCAAACGCGAUUUUCUCACCAACGAAGAUUCCAACGAAAAGACUUUAUUCUUGCUUUUCCCAUUCAUUUUUACACGUAGAAUAACUUCUUUAUAGUCACUUUAGAGCAAUUUUACGAUUUUUUACUCCAAUUUUAAGCUCUCGAUAUAUUACACAUUUAGAUCGUAUAGCGAUCGACCUUUCUUUCUACGCAAUAUGUUACAAUUCGAUAAAUUCGAUUCAUUAGAUGCGAUACAAUAACAGAAACGCAACGAAACACUUCUAAUAGAAGAGAAAAGAGAAUAAAAUUCGUUUUCAAUUCGUCGUUCGCGAUGGAAGAAAAAAGAUAAGCGAAUCAAGGCACUCCCUGCAGAAUUGCACCCUCCGCCGACUCCUGUCUACGGAAAACAGGAAGACGAGGCGUAUCCAAGGAAUAUAUUUUCAUCGCGAAUCGUUCUAGUCAACCGACGCUCGAUUCGUUACACGAGGAAGACUUUACACAGGAAUGUAAAGGAAAUUGCACUGUUCCCUUGGAAAAUGGUC
rnacentral:misc_RNA from 1 species